rnacentral:lncRNA from 1 species
UUUGUAUUUUUUUCUCAUUUUUUGGGCGGUGUUCUUGUGUAUGGGAGAUCUUGAAUUAUUGUGGAUUUCUUGGUUUUUGGUUGGAUGAAUAUGUGUGAAAGAUAAUGUGUAGAGAAGAGAGAAAUGAUUGAAAAAUGAAUUUUUUGAUUGAGAUGAUUGUUGUGAUGUAGUAGAUUUUGAUGUUGGUGUGGAUGAGAGAUUUUGUGGUUGUUGUGGAUGAGAGAUUUUGUG